CGCCUUGCCAGCCCGCUCAGAACUUAAAUGAAUUGACGGGGGCCCGCACAAGCGGUGGAGCAUGUGGUUUAAUUCGAUGAUACGCGAGGAACCUUACCUGGGCUCAAAUGUAUGUUGACGUAUUCUGAAAGGGAUACUUCUUCGGACAAUAUACAAGGUGCUGCAUGGUUGUCGUCAGCUCGUGCCGUGAGGUGUCGGGUUAAGUCCCAUAACGAGCGCAACCCCUAUCAUUAGUUGCCAUCAGGUCAAGCUGGGGACUCUAAUGAAACUGCCUACGCAAGUAGUGAGGAAGGUGGGGAUGACGUCAAAUCAGCACGGCCCUUACGUCCAGGGCUACACACGUGCUACAAUGGUCGGUACAAAGGGUUGCCAAGCCGCGAGGUGGAGCUAAUCCCAUAAAACCGAUCGUAGUCCGGAUCGCAGUCUGCAACUCGACUGCGUGAAGUCGGAAUCGCUAGUAAUCGUGAAUCAGAAUGUCACGGUGAAUACGUUCCCGGGCCUU
rnacentral:rRNA from 1 species